rnacentral:rRNA from 1 species
AGGAUGAACGCUGGCGGCGUGCCUAAAACAUGCAAGUCAUACGGACUACCUUCGGGUAGUCAGUGGCAAACGGGUGAGUAACACGUGGGAACACGCCUUCGAGUGGGGAAUAACGCUGAGAAAUCAGUGCUAAUACCGCAUAUGGUCGAGAGACUAAAGCAGCAAUGCGCUCGGAGAGUGGCCCGCGGUCGAUUAGCUAGUUGGUGGGGUAAUGGCCUACCAAGGCGGCGAUCGAUAGCUGGUCUGAGAGGAUGGUCAGCCACACUGGGACUGCGAACGGCCCAGACUCCUACGGGAGGCAGCAGUUAGGAAUUUUCGUCAAUGGACGCAAGUCUGAACGAGCGACGCCGCGUGAAGGAUGAAGCCUCUCGGGUGUAAACGUUCUUUUUACGGGAAGAUAAUGACGGUACCGUAAGAAUAAGCACCGGCUAACUACGUGCCAGCAGCCGC